CUACGUGCCAGCAGCCGCGGUAAUACGUAGGUGGCAAGCGUUGUCCGGAUUUAUUGGGCGUAAAGCGAGCGCAGGCGGUUCCUUCAGUCUGAUGUAAAAGUCCCCGGCUCAACCGGGGAGGGUCAUUGGAAACUGGGGAACUUGAGUGCAGGAGAGGAGAGUGGAAUUCCAUGUGUAGCGGUGAAAUGCGUAGAUAUUAGGAGGAACACCAGUGGCGAAGGCGACUUUCUGGACUGUAACUGACGCUGAGGCUCGAAAGCGUGGGGAGCGAACAGGAUUAGAUACCCUGGUAGUCCACGCCGUAAACGAUGAGUGCUAGGUGUUAGACCCUUUCCGGGGUUUAGUGCCGCAGCUAACGCAUUAAGCACUCCGCCUGGGGGGUACGACCGCAAGGUUGAAACUCAAAGGAAUUGACGGGGGCCCGCACAAGCGGAGGAACAUGUGGUUUAAUUCGAUGAUACGCGAGGAACCUUACCCGGGCUUGAAUUGCAGACGCACGAUUCAGAGAUGAUGAGG
rnacentral:rRNA from 1 species